AAAUGGGGUUUUCAAACCCUAAAUGUAAUCUCUAAUGUAUUAUAAAUACAAGCAACCCAACGUUAAUUGGGUAUGCACAUUGGUGAGAAACUUGGCGUUCUGUUCUAGCUUUUCCAACCUUCCAUAACUUAGUACAAAGCUGUGCGACGUAGAAUGUGGAAGCUUCCUCUAUUAUGUUUUUGUAUUUUAUUUCUAUAUAUAACAAAUUAACAAUAAUGUGGACCAGUUUUCUGUGAGUAAAUGUUCAAACAAACUGACUUAAUGGUUACGGUGGACUUAUUUGACUUAAUUAUUGAAACAUCAAGUUCUGCAAGUAGACAACAGAAGAUGACCUCCACGCACUCCCUGGUCUUUAGAGUAGAAGGGGGGUGGGGGACCUCCAUGCACUCCCUGGUCUUUGGGGUAGGAGUGGGUGGGGAAGACGUGGAAAUGGGAACUUGAUUUAGUCUUUUGAGCGACUCAUUAGUUUAAGACCCAAAACAAAUUAAUAUGCAAAUUUCAUACAGAUAAGAAACGAUGGGGUGUUGGUGUUGCACAUCAGAGUACGCAACAAAUGGAAUAUAAACUUUAUUAAGCAAACAAAGAGAAACAAUGAAUUACCAGGAAGACUACAUAAACUUUAGAGAUUACAUAUUGAGAGCUACGGGUUUGCUGUUCCAUUUUUUGGGUCUCCAUUGUUCUCUUUGCUAUUGACACAUGUUUUAUAACUUAACUGAGAGAUAAAUUUGUUCUUUUUCAUUUGACAUUCAAAAAAACUUCAAAUACGAUCAAAUAUGCAUACGCGAGCGUCUUGGUAAAUCUAACAUAUCUUCCUCUCAUUCUGUCGUCUCUCAAACCCUUGCAAAACCCAGCCAUCUAAAUCUUUGCCCUCAUAAUGUGCAAUAAGAACACCAUUGAUCUUGUAUAUUUCUUCUUCUGCUUUCUCAAGGACCAUUCUAUCUUCACUUUUUUUUUUCUACCAAUUACAAUGAUUAAAAAAAACACUCUUUUCAAUGAUUAAAAAAAACACUAUUUAUGGAGCAAAAAUAAUUCAAAAAAUCAUAGAGACGACACAUGAACUUUUUCUUAGGAAAAAACAAGAACGCCCUCAUUAAAUGGGUAGGGCACAUAAAUAUUUUCACGCACAGCUCAUCAUUCCUGGAGGUCCAAGUAGUUGACUACGAUUGCUCAAAGCUCUUCUGCUCGUGGCGUGGAAAAGUCAAAGACACUAACUAUUGGAUUAAUUACUAAAUCUCCAUCAAGUAAGGAAUCCUUAUCACAAUCAAUCAUUGAUGCUUCCAUCAUCAUCCCAAGAUAUAUCUCCUUAUUGAUAUCUUGAAAAUAUUAUUUCCUCAUUCAUCCAACAGAUGACACAUCUUGACCAAUAGCACUAUGUGUAGAGCAAAACCCUAACCAUAUGGCUAGCCAUUCCUCCCUAUAAAAUACCUCAUCACCACCAAAUUUUUGGUAAGCUUUUGCUACGCAUACAAGCCCAAAACACUCACUUUUUUUCCAGAGAUACUGACUUAGGCAUUGGAGAUCCAUUAGCUAAACCCCUCUCAAACCUUGUGAUCGCGUGAGGCUUUGGUUUUUGAACAAAAGUGUUAAUUAUUUUGUAGAUACACAUUCGUCAAGAUUCAAGAUGGCAGAUUUUUGCUACCAUACAAAUUGGUGCUUUCAUUGAGAGGUUGAUUCAAAUACUUGAAGAAGCCUCAGGCAAUUACUUUUUGGAAUUUUAUGUUACUUGAAUUUCUCAUACACUCCUAGUCAUUGAAAAUUUUCCUAGAAAAAAUCCUUAAUUAGUCCUUGGAGUGGAUACAAUGGUAAACAUUUUUGAAACCACGACAACCGGAACGCCCUACGUUCAAGGAUAUGGACCGAAAAACGGAGACCAAGACGUAGCUCCUCGUCAACAGUGCUCAAGGCUCAACGCGACGGCAAGAGGAGCCCCACCGCCGCAGAGCACCACCAUCACAGUGGCCAUUGCCUAGUAGUCACCGCAUGGCCGACCUAAGGAGCCCAGCAGCCAACAAAGGGCCACUG
rnacentral:lncRNA from 1 species